UAAAAAAAGCCGGAAUAGCUCA
rnacentral:tRNA from 1 species